rnacentral:lncRNA from 1 species
AAAAAUCCGCCAAAGGGUGGAAUUUACGACGAUCUUUAUGGAGAAUCAGCUCCUGCUAAAGUCGGGUCUUGGGCAUAUUCUGAUUCCAGUCAGGCGGCUUCUACUAACGAUGCUAAAGGAGAAUCCCCUGGUUCUUUAGGCAGAAUCUCGGGAAAUAUCUCAAGCAAUGUAGACGACGAUACUGAUGAUUUGUUUGGAUAGUAAAUGCAUUGCUACAUGAGGCUCCCCUGGUCCUCUAGGCAGAAUCUCGGGAAAUAUCUCAAGCAAUGUAGACGACGAUACUGAUGAUUUGUUUGGAUAGUAAAUGCAUUGCUGCAUGAGGUGUCUCUAGUAGAUUGAAUCAUGUUAUAGUCUUUAUGUUAUUCUUGUUCUUCCAUUUCCUGGCAUGCACCAACAAGAUUCAUUUUUGAACCGAGUCUUAACCUGUUAGAGCACUGAAUCUGUGACUUGAGAUUAAUGGAAAAAAGUGUAUGUUAUCUUUCCCAUUUUCAUUUUGUGCAAAACAAAAGGCCAUAACGCUAAUGUGGUGCUUUUUGUUGUACUAGUUUCUGAACACGUGCGUUGAAUAUUAAUUAGUACAAAUUUUAUUAAAGUAAAA